CGAGGGGCUUGCGGGAGGGGGGCGCCAGUGUUCGGGGCCGUUUUGGCGGCUAUGCAGGAUUGGCAGGAGCUGCGAUGCUCACACUUGCCUCGCCGACCGCCAUUUCACAUCCAGCAGAGGAGGCGGGGGCAGCCGCUGAGACGGUUUUUCACAAGAAAUUAUUUUAAUAGAGAUGAGGUCUCACUAUAUUGCCCAAGCUGGUCUCGAACUCCUGGGCUCAAGCGAUCUUCCUGCCUCAGCCUCCCAAAGUGCUGAGAUAACAGGUAUGAGCCACCAUGCCCUGCGAAAUUAUUCUUUUUGAGACAGAGUGAGACUCUGUCACCCAGGCUGGGGUGCAGUGACCCAAUCUCAACUCACUGCAGUCUUGACUUCCCAGGCUCAAGCAAUCCUCCCACCUCAGCCUCCUGAGUAGCUGGGACUACAGGCGUGCACCUCUACACCCAGCUAUUUUUCAUAUUUUUUUGGAGACAGGGUUUCACUAUAUUGCCCAGGCUGGUCUCGAACUCCUGAGCUCAAGUGAUCUGCCUGCCUUGGCCUCCCAAAGUGCUGGGAUUACAGGUGUGAGCCAUGGCGCCCAGCCUCAAGCUAAAUUAUUCUUUGUGUCAUCCCUUUUCUUUCCUUCACUUUCAGAUAACUCAGUUUUCUUAACUACUGUAGGGCAAAUGUCUGAGUCAUUUAGUUCAGUGUUCCUCAACCAGGGGUGAUUUUUGCCGCCCUAGGGGACAUUUGGCAAAAUAUCUGGAGGCAUUUUUGAUUAUCACAUCUUACAAUGCAUAGGGCAGCCCCUGCAGCGCAAAGAAUUAUCAGGUCCAAAGUGUCAAUAGUGCAGGUGUUGAAAAACCCUGGCCUAGUUUAAAGUAAAUUUGUACCCAGCCCUUCAUCCAGUCUCUUGCCUUUAUGAAACCAUGAUGGAAAAGAAACUCAUUCCCUUUCAGAGGCAUUUGGAAGGCCUAAGUAAGUACGGCAAACUUUGGAGUCAAUUGCAUCAACCAUACAAAGUCCCAAAAGGCUUUAUAUGCAGGUUUCUGCAAUUUCUCCAUAGAACCUUCCUGGGUACAAGGUAGGCACAUAAAUAUUUGUUGCCUAAAUGAAUAAUAAUAAAAUAAUUCUUGGCUAAAAGACAUAUUUUAUUUCUUUCUCUUUAAACCAAAGUCAGAUUUAUCAUGUGGUGAGAGAUGAAUUUCCUGAACAGAGAUCUCUCUAUUCAUUUUAACCAAUUAAUUUACUCAGUUACUCAGAGAAGCAAAACUUUUCUGAAACAACUUCCACUUCCAUAAGUUAGCAGUAAUAGUCUUAAGGAAGGAAUUGAUAGCCUAUAAAUUAAAGAUGAUGUUUGAGGAACAAGAAAUAAAAGAAACUUUCAGAAUAGAGUAAUAUUAGAACUGAUGCCUGAGCUUUCCAGGACCCUCAUUUAAAUUACAUAUCCAGAAUUGAUAUUGGAGCAUUUCCAAUGGAUUAUAUUAUAGAUAGGCAGGAGGAGACCAAACACACAUAGAGUAAGGAUAGAUAAAAUUCCCAAUUUAAAUAAUUAAGAUGCAAAAUCUCAGAAGCUAGGUAUCUAUUUGGAUCAACAUAUCUCAGGGUAGUUUCCCCUGGCCCCAAAGUUUAUUGCAUUUUAAUAUUCACAGUGUAAAUCACAUUCCAGAAAAACUCCCACUAAAAAGCUUUUUACUGAGACUGGGCAGGGUGGCUCAUGCCUGUAAUCCCAGUACUUUGGAAGACCAAGGUGAGAUUAUUGCUUGAGCCCAGAAGUUUGAGACCAGCUUGGGCAACAUAGUGAGACCUUGUCGCUACAAAAAAUUAACAAUUAGCCAGGCGUGGUGAUGUAUGCCUGUAGUCCCACUUACUCAGGAGGCUGAGGCAGGAGGAUCACUGGAGCCUAGGAAGUUGAAGCUGCAGUGAGCCAUGAUCACCACUGCACUCCAGCCUGGGUCACAGAGCAAGACCCUGUCUCAAAAAACACACACACAGAAAACUUUGUUAUUGACACUGGAUUCUCCUAGAUUUUGCUUUAUUUUACAUCCUCAUUCCAGAGGCCAGAAAAGACUACUUAUUCUCAGAUGUGUAAAUAUAGAUAAGUCCUUCUGUUUCUUCAUUUUCUCAAUAAAAUGUAUUUUUCCAAUUUUAAAAGUUUUUAAAUGCAUAGCAUGGAAAACAUGGAGGACAAUAAAGAAAAAUAUAGAACAUUCAG
ensembl:lncRNA TRAF3IP2-AS1 TRAF3IP2 antisense RNA 1